rnacentral:rRNA from 1 species
GAUGAACGCUAGCUACAGGCUUAACACAUGCAAGUCGGGGGGUAACGAGAGGAAAGCUUGCUUUCCUUGUCGACGACCGGCGCACGGGUGAGUAACGCGUAUCCAACCUGCCCCCAACUAGGGAAUAACCUUGCGAAAGUAAGACUAAUACCCUAUAAUUUCCUCAGAUGACAUCUGACGAGGAAUAAAGAUUUAUCGGUUGUGGAUGGGGAUGCGUCUGAUUAGCUUGUUGGCGGGGUAACGGCCCACCAAGGCAACGAUCAGUAGGGGUUCUGAGAGGAAGGUCACCCUAAUUGGAACUGAGACACGGUCCAAACUCCUACGGGAGGCAGCAGUGAGGAAUAUUGGUCAAUGGGCGGAAGCCUGAACCAGCCAAGUAGCGUGCAGGAUGACGGCCCUAUGGGUUGUAAACUGCUUUUAUACAGGAAUAAAGUUAGCCACGUGUGGUUAUUUGUAGGUACUGUAUGAAUAAGGACCGGCUAAUUCCGUGCCAGCAGCCGCCGCCG